AUACCGUGAAACUGCGAAUGGCUCAUUAAAUCAGUUAUCGUUUAUUUGAUAGUACCUUACUACUUGGAUAACCGUGGUAAUUCUAGAGCUAAUACAUGCUGAAAACCCCGACUUCGGAAGGGGUGUAUUUAUUAGAUAAAAAACCAAUGCCCUUCGGGGCUCCUUGGUGAUUCAUAAUAACUUCUCAGAUCGCAUGGCCUUGCGCCGGCGACGGUUCAUUCAAAUUUCUGCCCUAUCAACUUUCGAUGGUAAGGUAUUGGCUUACCAUGGUUUCAACGGGUAACGGGGAAUUAGGGUUCGAUUCCGGAGAGGGAGCCUGAGAAACGGCUACCACAUCCAAGGAAGGCAGCAGGCGCGCAAAUUACCCAAUCCCGACACGGGGAGGUAGUGACAAUAAAUACUGAUACAGGGCUCUUUUGGGUCUUGUAAUUGGAAUGAGUACAAUUUAAACCUCUUAACGAGGAACAAUUGGAGGGCAAGUCUGGUGCCAGCAGCCGCGGUAAUUCCAGCUCCAAUAGCGUAUAUUAAAGUUGUUGCAGUUAAAAAGCUCGUAGUUGAACCUUUGGCCUGGCUGGCAGGUCCGCCUCACCGCGUGCACUUGUCCGGCCGGGCCUUCUUUUCUGGAGAACCGCAUGCCCUUCACUGGGUGUGUUGGGGACCAGGACUUUUACUUUGAAAAAAUUAGAGUGUUCAAAGCAGGCCUUUGCUCGAAUACGUUAGCAUGGAAUAAUAGAAUAGGACGUGCGGUCCUAUUUUGUUGGUUUCUAGGACCGCCGUAAUGAUUAAUAGGGACAGUCGGGGGCAUCAGUAUUCAAUUGUCAGAGGUGAAAUUCUUGGAUUUAUUGAAGACUAACUACUGCGAAAGCAUUUGCCAAAGGAUGUUUUCAUU
rnacentral:rRNA from 1 species